UACGUAGGGUGCAAGCGUUAAUCGGAAUUACUGGGCGUAAAGGGUGCGCAGGCGGCCAAGUGUGUCAGGUGUGAAAUCCCGAGGCUUAACCUCGGAACUGCGCCUGAAACUACUUGGCUAGAGUACUGGAGAGGGUAACGGAAUUCACGGUGUAGCAGUGAAAUGCGUAGAUAUCGUGAGGAACACCAGAGGCGAAGGCGGUUACCUGGACAGUUACUGACGCUCAGGCACGAAAGCGUGGGGAUCAAACAGG
rnacentral:rRNA from 1 species